AUUGAACGCUGGCGGCAGGCUUAACACAUGCAAGUCGAGCGAGCGGCGGACGGGUGAGUAAUGUAUGGGAAACUGCCUGAUGGAGGGGGAUAACUACUGGAAACGGUAGCUAAUACCGUAUACCCUCAGAUGUGCCCAGAUGGGAUUAGCUAGUAGGUGGGGUAAUGGCUCACCUAGGCGACUAUCCCUAGCUGGUCUGAGAGGAUGACCACCCACACGGGAACUGUGACAAGGUCCAGCCUCAUCCGGUAGGCAGCAGUGGGGAAUAUUGCACACUGGGCGCAGGCCUGAUGCAGCCAGGCCGCGUGUGUGAAGAAGGCCUUCGGGUUGUAAAGCACUUUCAGCGAGGAGGCGUUACUCGCAGGAGAAGCACCGGCUAACUCCGUGCCAGCAGCCGCGGUAAUAC
rnacentral:rRNA from 1 species